rnacentral:rRNA from 1 species
GAUGAACGCUGGCGGCGUGCUUAACACAUGCAAGUCGAACGAUGAAGCCCAGCUUGCUGGGUGGAUUAGUGGCGAACGGGUGAGUCACACGUGAGUAACCUGCCCUUAACUCUGGGAUAAGCCUGGGAAACUGGGUCUAAUACCGGAUAGGAGCGUCCACAGCAUGGUGGGGGUUGGACAGAUUUAUCGGUUUUGGAUGGACUCGCGGCCUAUCAGCUGGUUGGUGAGGUAAUUGCGCACCAAGGCGACGACGGGUAGCCGGCCUGAGAGGGUGACCGGCCACACUGGGACUGAGACACGGCCCAGGCUCCUACGGGAGGCAGCAGUGGGGAAUAUUGCACAAUGGGCGAAAGCCUGAUGCAGCGACGCCGCGUGAGGGAUGACGGCCUUCGGGUUGUAAACCUCUUUCAGUAGGGAAGAAGCGAAAGUGACGGUACCUGCAGAAGAAGCACCGGCUAACUACGUGCCAGCAGCCGCGGUAAAAC